UCUGAAGUAGCAAGAGCCAUAUUGUUGUCAGAUGCCUUGCUUGAGCGAAUGUGCCUUCUCUGGGGUCUGAAGAGAGGCCAGCGUGUCCCAAAGGCAAGCCCACGGGGGAAUUUCCAGGAGAGAGGAAGGAGACAGGGGAGCAGCAGAUUUAAGACUAAGUGGAUUAUGACACCAUGUGAUGACAUGGUAACUGGAUCACACCAUUCCUCUCCACUGCCCUUGUCUGGGGGAUGGUGGGCGGGCCACUGUUCCCAUGUGAGGGACGGUGAAUGGAUAACUCUAAACGUAGUGACUCAGGCUCACAGCAGUGUAUACAUCGACAUACACAGAAAAUCAGGGACGGCGGUGGUGCAGUGAGAAGCCUCAUUUCACCGCAGGCAGACCCUGGCCCAAGGAUGUUUGAGGAGAUAGAGGCAAAGGAGUUCAUCUCAUGUAGAGAGAAGAUACUCUACUCUCCCACUCACCUGGCUCGACGGGUCCAAGAACGAGGGUUUCCCUCAAGCCCCAAAGAAACCCGAGUGGACUAUGUUUUCUAUACGAAGCGUUUACAGCCUGCCGUAGCUUUGGCCACCUGCUGCCUACUGCAGGGUAUCUAGUUUAAAGAAGGCGCGGAGCUGUGCAGGGCAAGCAAGCUGCCCUGCGGUCGAGUCCCAGCCUCUCGAUGUAACUUAUAUGCAGUUAAAACCCACAAGGAUUCAGAUUUGUGGUGACCCCUUUAAUAUCUUGCCUCUGCGGAGCAAGAACUGACUUUCCAAGUCCUGGUCCUCUUUUUGCGCAUGCUUGUGAAACUCUCUUCUCUGGAUCGCUGCAGCCAGACCAGAUCAUCUGCAAACCAGCAGAGACGUGAGGGAGCAGAGGCUGCUCUGAGUGCCCAGCGGGAGCGUUCAUUCCCCCGCUCACGUAGUCGUUUACUCAGCGUCUACUGCGUCCAGCUACAGGAAUAAUUGCUGGGGAUGAACAAAUGAUUGCAACACGACCCAGGAGCUUAACCUAAUGGAGCCCACAGUCUAAACAUGUUGAUGUUUCUGAGGACUCAGGGACCACAAAUUUAGAGUCGAAAAGAAAUCUAAAAAUACUCCUGUCCCCAAGAGAAUUGAUCGGUGGUUACCAGGGAAAGGGGGGUGGGGGGAGGGCACAAAGGGUGAAGUGGUGUAUCUACAACAUGACUAACAAUAAUGUACAACUGAAAUUCCACAAGGUCGUAAACUAUCAUAAUCUCAAUAAAAAACUAAAAAAAAAAAAAGGCA
rnacentral:lncRNA from 1 species